AAUUCGCUGAGAAGAGGAGGAGUGAGCGGAUUAAAAGUAGAUGGAGAUUAGAGGGAGAAAGAAACGGAGGACAACAGAAGCGAUAAAAGCUGGAGAAGAAGGCAAACAAAAGAAGAAAGAGUGUUUAAUUAACCUUUAUUCAGGACUCUACGGGGGACAAGCAAGGGAGUAGAUGAGACCUGGAUGAGACAGAGACUGAUGCAAAGAUUGGAAGUGGGCAGGACAUUUCACAGAUUUACACCUGGUUGUCAUGACAACCACCCACAUAAAAUUAGUAACCAUGGCAGCCACUUGUUUGCAGUAGGUUUGGUGAGAGUAAAAGUGAGAUGAAGGAGACGUCUGAAUGUCUAAAAUGACUCUUCGCUGCGAGUCCCACCCUCUCCUAGCCCUCAUUCUCGUCCUCUCGUCUCCGCUGAGUCGGUCUCAGUUCAGUGGCCAGUAUGACGUGUGUCGCUCCAACUUGGGAGCAGUGCCCGGAUGGGAGCUAUAUCCAUGUCAGCCCCCCCCAAUGAACAUGAAAGAGUUCAUGCAGAUCAGAGUUGACCCGCCAGGGAUCACCUGUGGAAACCCACCAGAGAGGUUUUGCACUCUGGAGAAUCCAUACAUGUGCAGCGAUGAGUGUGAUGCAUCCAGCCCUGACCUAUCUCACCCUCCUCAGCUAAUGGGAGACAAAGAAAGGGGCGGUCUUAUUACCUACUGGCAGACGGUCACUUGGUCUCGGUAUCCUGAACCACUACAGGCCAAUGUCACUCUGUCCUGGAACAAAAGUCUGGAGGUGGUCGAUGACAUUGUUAUCACCUUUGAGUAUGGCCGACCAACAAGUAUGGUUUUGGAGAAGUCACUGGACAAAGGUGUGACUUGGCAACCAUAUCAAUACUAUGCUGACGACUGUUUAGAGACCUUUGGCAUGUCGCCAAAACGAGUGUCUGAAUUAGCGCCAAGUAACUUAACACGUGUAAUCUGCACAGAGCAGUACUCCCGAUGGGUCGGAGCCAAAGAGGAAAAGAAUGUAGUGUUUGAAGUGCGCGCUCGUUUUGGUGUGUUUGCUGGUGCAAAGCUCAUUAACAUGGAUGCUCUGUACACCCGCAUGGAGACCAUGAUGGGGCUUCGGGACUUCUUCACUUUCACUAACCUUCGUCUGCGACUUCUCCGCCCAGCAUUGGGAGGAACCUAUGUUCAGAGAGAUAACUUGCUUAAGUACUUCUAUGCUAUUUCUAACAUCGACAUACCAGCCAGGUGUAAGUGUAAUUUACAUGCAUCUCAGUGUGUGCUUCGUGAUGCAACACUGCAGUGUGAAUGUGACCACAAUACAACAGGCCAGGACUGUGAACGCUGCAGAGGAGGUUUCACAUCCAACAGCUGGAGACCAGGAUCAUACCUGCCCCUGCCCUGGGGCUCUGCCAAUAUCUGUAAUCAAGCUGAAACUGGAGUCACGGCUGAUGACUCUAACUCAGCAGCAUCUGAUGGACCUUCUGCCUCAUCAGAUGGAAUGACUGACUCUACUCCCACCACCACUGACUUUAUUAGGUCACCUUCAUCUGUAACUGAUGGCAAUACCCCAAUGACUGACGCAGACACUGCUGCUGGGCCCAUCACUGCAGUAACUGACAGUACAACUACUUCCCCCUCACGAACUACAGAUAGUGUUUCAGCUAUUUCUAUGUAUGCAAUGACUACUGAUACAAACCAAGCAGGCUCUUCUACAGAAUUAGCCAGUACUUUUACCAUGACUGACCUGUGGAGUACUGAUGCUGCAGAAACAAAAAGUCCCCUUGAUGACAUUGACAUGUCUAACACUGAGGAUAGUAGGGAUACCGGUACAUCCACACCUGUUUAUAGUUCCACUAAAUAUUUAAGUAGUACUACUGCUGAAGAUCAAAUUUCUGACAAUGGCUUAUCCCCAGACUCUUUUACAAGUUCUGAUAGUGGCAAUGCAGCCUCUACUAGUAUCAGCAGUACUUUAAGUGUUGAAAAUUCCACUCCAUUUCCCGAUCCAAGCAAUGAAAACAGACCUUCAUUGAACCCAGUUACAUCAAGUAGUCCAACUCUGGGUACUGGGAACACCCUUGAUCCCAGUCUUACCACUAGUAUCUCCACCUUAGUAAUAAAAAUCCCCCAAAUCCCAGGAAGUAGCAUAGAUGAGGGGGCACCCAUGUCUGAUCCAGUGACACUGGCCAAUUCUGACCUUGCCUUCUCUGGGACUGAAAAAGCCAUUCUGGUGAUAACUGUCACUCCACCUUCUGUUGAUUUAGUAUCAACAGCUACUAUUCCAGAUCAAUUAAAAACUCUAGUAGCUACCACAACUGGUAUCAAGGUUUCAUCUGAAGAUAUUCCCCUCACUGGAACUGUUUCAACUAGUCAAGUAGAAGAUGCUCCACCUACAGCAGGAGCUGACCCCACUUCUGUUCUUGUUGACUUUGGCAUCGAUAUACCUCGUACAGAUUUACCACUGGGAGAACCAUCCCUGGAAUUACCUCCUCUGGAUGGAUCAACUCCUGAUGUAUCAUCUUCAGAUGCACCUUCUGAUAUACCUCCUCUUAGUACAUUACCUCCAGACACAGCAUUUCUAGACACAUCUCGUCCAGGUGUUGUAUUGACAGAACCAGCUCUGGAUAUGAUUUCUCCUGAUGUACCAUCAAUUGUUGUACCAUUCCCUGAUGAACCACCACCAGAGAUGCCGUUGCCUGAUGUUCCACUGGAAGUACAAUCUACUGAUACACCAGCUUUUAGUUCACCGUCUCCAAAAGAAUCUGGGACAAAUGUCACUUUGGUAGACAAGCUUCCAUCUGAGUCAUCUUCUGUUAUUCCAAAUCCUUCAGUGGACCUUUCUUUAUUGGAAGUCCCUCAAGAGGGGCUACAGCCAAAGACAGAAGACACUUCAACAAAUGCACCUUUUUCCAGUGACCCUGUUUCUGAGGCACCCCCAUUGGAUGUACUUCCACAGCUACCACCCUCCAGAAUUCCAGAAACUUUAGCCGCCGUUCCUGAAUCUGAUGUGUCGGUUCUCAAUGCGCCCCCUCCUGUCAAGUCUUCUCUUGAUGCAGAGUUGUCCUCUAGAGCCCUUGAUGCCUCAACAGAUUCUGAUUUACUUCCUGUCGCUGGGGUUCCUCCAGUAGUAGCCUCCCCUGACAGUGUCCCUAAAGCCCCAAUGGAAACGGAAGAGCCUUUAUUACCUCCCUCUGGAGUUGAUGAUGUGGCAACAGGUACAGUUCCUGCCAUGACAGAGCCUUCUAACCCUGCGAAAAAACCUGAACAGAUAUCAGAAUCAAAAAAUUCCGAACAAGUGCCUGAUGGCAAUCUAGAACCUGAUAGGAAAGGAGAUUCUUCUAAGGAGGAAUUAGCUGGAGAAGCAACAAAAGAAAAGCCUGAAGAAAAGAAAGAUUCCAGUGAAAAGAGAACAGGAGAGCAAAAGAAGGAAAAAGGUACUGAAAAAUGUUUUAAAGUAAAAGACUCAGCCGUUUUGAAAAGUUUUAUGAUGGAAAUACAUUCUAAACCUGAUGAACUAAACUGUCAAUGUUUCUGAAGAGAAAACUAAGGAGAAAAAGGAAGAAAAAAGCAAGACGAAGGAAGACAAGGACUUAGAGAAAAAAGCAACCCAGAAGAUUCUGAUUCCAGGAGGACCAAAGUUUAGUCAGCUUUCAAAAAUCAUUUAUGUCAACUUUCAGGAUUGUGAGUGUAAUGGUCACUCAAACCGAUGCAGCUACAUUGACUUUGUCAACGUGGUCACAUGUGUGAGCUGUAAGCACAACACGCGAGGGCAGAACUGUCAGUUUUGUCGCCUUGGUUACUACAGAAACAUAGAAUUGCCGUUGGAGGAUGAAAACAUCUGUCUGGGUUUGCCAAUUUGAGGAAGCAGCAGAUAAUCAUAGAAUCCCUUAGAUCUGAAUGCGAGUGCAGCACAGUGGGCAGCACGUCUCCAUACUGCUCAGAGUCCGGUCUCUGCAGCUGUAAGAGUGGAACCACAGGGAGGAGCUGUGACUCCUGUUUAUCUGGCUACACCUGGAGAGGAGACGGAGCUGGAUGCACAGAGAACUUGUGUGACUCAGAACAGUUGAUUUGUCAGAACGGUGGGACCUGCAUAGACUUCCAGCGCUGCGUCUGUCCAGAAAAGUUCACAGGUCCGUUCUGUGAGCGCAGCGUCUGUCUGAAGAACAACAAAUGCCAAGAAAAUGCUAAAGGCUCCUCUUCCUCACUGACAUCACAGCUAUACCUGCUAAGUCUUGGUCUGAUCACCUGCCUCCGUUGAUCCUCUGCCUUUGACUUUAAGUCACACCUACUGGUUGGAUCACAGAUUAAUAAAAUUCUAGACAGAAUGAA